UUACUACUCUCUUCGUUCCGAAUUACUUUUCACAGGUAUGGAUGUAUCUAGAUGUAUUUUAGUUUUAGAUACAUCCAUUUCUGUGACGAGUAAUUUGAAACGAGGGAGUAGUUA
rnacentral:pre_miRNA from 1 species